AGAAUCACUUGAACCCAGGAGGCAGAGGCUGCAGUGACCCAAGAUGGCACCCUUGCACUAUAGCCUGGGCGACAGAGCAAGACUGUCUCAAAACAAAACAAAACAAAAA